rnacentral:lncRNA from 1 species
AGAGACGACGGCGAGGCUGCUCGGAGUGUCUAUGCCCACUCUGUUGCCGCUCCCGAACUCCGGCACGGUCUCCGACUCGGCCCCCUGCGCCCGCUCAGUGUCACUGCCUCUCGCUCUGGGAAAAUGGCGGCGGCGGCGGCGGCGGCCGCGGCGGCGGCGGCGGCGGCGGCAAGUGCACGGGAUGCAUUCAACAAUCCACCGAAGGUUUGAGGAAGUGUCGGUAUUCGGUGGGACUGGUUCUUUCCCCCUUUCCCCCAGUGGCCCUCAAGUCUGGAUAUAGUCCCGUCUCCCCGUUCCUCUCCCCCUCCUCCCCCAGCCCAGUCUGGCCUCCAGCGCUGGGUGAACCCGGUUGGGGUGUCACUCGACGCCCACUAGGGGCUGAGGAGGCUCCAGUGCGCAGGCUCCGGGCACCGGAUAAAAGCGGAGCUGGCGAGUCUAGUGCUGUCUCGAUGGAGGAGCAAGAAACGGAAGAGGUCGGGGGGAGAAGCAGCCGGAAAAAUGCAGCCACCGUCAACGCCGCCUCCCUGCCACCGUGCUUCGGGGUAAAAAGCUGCCGUUGCCGUCGGUGCAGUUGCCGUCGCUGCCUCCUAUACUUCUCUUGGCCUCGGGGAAGGAUUUCCCCACCGGUGGGACAAUGUGCGGGGAGGGGAGUGGGAAUUCCUUUAUAUGGCGGUGAUUAAACGAGGGAGGGACAGACAGUGAUCUCGAAGAAAAAAGGGGGAGACCAAAGAAUAAAAGAAGGGUUUCCCCACUAAAAUGACACGGCGAUUCCGGCUCUUGUUUUGGGGGUCUUUCCCCGAAAUGGUUUCCGUCUUCCCCUUGCCCCGCAGCGACCCAGAGCGCUGGGGGAAGCGGAGUGGGGAGAGGCAGAGGCGGUCUCGGCAGCCAAUCAGCGCCUGAUGUGUCCUGUCGGGCGCGUCGUGGUUGGCUGGCGAUGACCUCAUCCUGCAGCAGCGGGUGGGGCCAAAGCCGUAGGGGGAGGCUGUUGCAAAGGUAGAGAGGGAGAAGUGACGAUGGUGAUCGUUGCUGCCGCGGCCGAUAUGGAACCCAAGCAGUGGCGAAGGGAAUCGCAAGGCUCUUCCCUGACCAUUUUCUACUGUCCCUGCGCGAGGUGAGGGCCCCGGCUCGGCCUCUGCAAAACUUUGGGGCGCUGGCGCGGAGGAGGAGACAGGAUUUCUCCCGUGACUUUUGUAACUGCGUCAGGGCAAGAUGGCGCUGGGUCUCUUUGGGGCGCGGGGGGAGAGGCACGUCCACCGCCGCAGCGCAUGUGACCGGGCUGCAUUCCUGUGGGGUUUGGCUCCGACCCAGGCCGGGGCGGGGGAGGGGACAGGGCUUGGGCGGAGGAGACUGUGGUGCGGUCGGCGUUGGCGGCCUGAAGAGGAAGAGAUGACUGUUGGAAAGCGUUCCCCUCCCCCAUACGGCAGAACAGCUGCGGCUCCCAGGGGAAAGCCCCCGCAGGACAGUCCUCGUGGGGUGUGACGGCUGUUGGUGGAGAAGGUUUGGCGCCCUAUUUUCUUAUCUGCCUUUCUCCCCGCAAAGUAUACUUAUGUAAGGUGGUAGUUCCCUGACGUGGGACUCGGAAUCAACUAGGAGUCCUUGAGGGCCUCUGGGAGGCCUAGCGAGGGGUAGACCAGCUUCUGGGGGUACAACGUCAAGGAGGAUCGAUUACUUUCUGAGGAAACAGUUUCUCAGAUUGAAAUAGAAAAGUAUUUCCAAAGUUUGGAAACAAAUUUAAAGGUGUAAAUAACACCCAGGAACACUUUAAUUGCUUUGAAAAGGCAUAAGCAGCCAUCUGAAUUUAAGGGCCCUUUUCAGACUCUUCCUUCCUCCUGUGAUUCCUGUUCUUUAUUUCAGUUUUCUGUCUGUACAUCCCUUAAGAAUAUAGUUUUGUCGGUGGGAUUCGCUCUUUUGUGCCCAGGCUGGAGUGCAGAGGCGAGAUCUCGGCCCACUGCAACCUCCGCCUCCCCGGGUUCAGGCGAGUCUCCUGCCUCAGCCUCCCAGGUAGCUGGGAUUACAGGCGCCCACAACCACACCCUGCUAAUUUUUUCUAUUUUUAGUAGAGACGGGGUUUCACCCCAUUGACCAGGCUGGUCUCGAACUCUCGAGAUCCGCCCGUCUCAGCUUCCCAAAGUGCUGGGAUUAUAGGCAUGAGCCACCGCGCCGGGCCUGCUUUUUUUUUUUUUUUUUUUUUUUGCACUGGGCAUUAGUAAUACGGAAUAAAAGCCGUGUUUUAAACUGUAUUAAGUUGUAAGACUUUUCAGUACUUUCAAGUCUGCUUUCUUUCUGUUGCCCUUUUGUAGUUUUUAAAAAUAAAAGAUGCAAUUAUAAGCACUUCCGGUGAAUAUUAUUCCUUAAGGUUCCUGCAUCAUCAUGAAAUUUGAAGCACUUUUAUAGUAGUACAAACUAUACUUUUAGCUUUUGAAAUCUCGAUAGGAGAAAAUAUCCAGCAGUUUUAGGGGCUAUUUUGGCAUAUUCAUUAAGGUAGACUAAGUUUGUUUUUCGUUUUUCCCACUUAGCCAAACUAGUUAAAGUAGUCAAAACUAGCAAAUAAUUUUUAAAGGGCUUCUCCUUUUGGGUGGUGUAGAGGGUGGGGAGUUAUUCAACAAACACAUUUGCAGCCAAAAUCUGGCCUACUUCUUGGCAGAGCGCUUAUACUUGGUGCUACGAGAAAAUGAUUGCUGGACCUGAAAAGAACCUGAGGUCAAGGUUGUGCUAUUUCCUUAAGUCUUAGUUGUAGGCUCUUGGUAGUUUGAAAACAAGAUUGGGUUUUUAAUUCAUUUGUGUAUCCUUAAAUCCUCACUAGUUUUUGUGGAUUUCUUUUUUCAGUUAUAAGCAACUGAAUGUGGAUGAGCUAUAAAUAUUUAGUACAAAGAAUGUAAUUUGUCCACUCUGAAUAGAAAGUAAGCAUUAAGAACUCUUGAAUGUCUUCAAGGGUUACUUUGUUACGUGUAAGAUGUCUCCCCUUCCUUCAUAGCAGUUUUUAUUCCUGCUUAAAAAGGGAACUAAAUAUGAAGUCAGUAGAUUUUAAGGUAAUUUUCAGAAUGUUUCUACUUUCACCGUGCCUUAAUAAGGAAAAAAGGCCAUUUUCCAAGCGAAUGGAAACACCCUUUCCUUGUUUUGUGCCUUUAAUCAGCGUGUACCUUCAUUGUUCCUGAUUGCCAAAUCCACGAACUUCUUGAGCUCUCAAUUUUUCUUGACUUUCCUAUGGCAUUUUAAAUACUGUUCAUACUUGGAAUUACUUUUCUUUGACUGCCUUCAUACAUUCAUAUAUUCUGCCUGGGCAAUUUCAUUUGGGCCUAUUAUGUUCCAAUACCUCUCCAAUUUUCACCUCCAUCUUAGCUCUGCCAGCUUCAGUGCCACAGGUAGGCAAUGUAAAAGUUUACUGGGGACCACAGGCUUUCUGAGCUCAAUAAAAAUACUAAGCUUGGUACUUGUUUUUUAAGAAUUUUCUUCCCCCAUCCCCUCACAAAGAUUAUUUGAGUAAAUUACACCCCAACCUCCUUUUCCUUGUUUUUGUUGAAAUUAUUGUCUCUUAACUUUGGAACAUUGCAGUUGCGGUA